GAUGAACGCUGACGGCGUGCCUAAUACAUGCAAGUCGAGCGAACGGACGAGAAGCUUGCUUCUCUGAUGUUAGCGGCGGACGGGUGAGUAACACGUGGAUAACCUACCUAUAAGACUGGGAUAACUUCGGGAAACCGGAGCUAAUACCGGAUAAUAUUUUGAACCGCAUGGUUCAAAAGUGAAAGACGGUCUUGCCGUCACUUAUAGAUGGAUCCGCGCUGCAUUAGCUAGUUGGUAAGGUAACGGCUUACCAAGGCAACGAUGCAUAGCCGACCUGAGAGGGUGAUCGGCCACACUGGAACUGAGACACGGUCCAGACUCCUACGGGAGGCAGCAGUAGGGAAUCUUCCGCAAUGGGCGAAAGCCUGACGGAGCAACGCCGCGUGAGUGAUGAAGGUCUUCGGAUCGUAAAACUCUGUCAUUAGGGAAGAACAUAUGUGUAAGUAACAGUGCACAUCUUGACGGUACCUAAUCAGAAAGCCACGGCUAACUACGUG
rnacentral:rRNA from 1 species